rnacentral:lncRNA from 1 species
CGGGGGCCCAGGGUGGAGAGCACGAGGGCCUGGCCCAGGCACGGCCGGCGCCUCCGCCCUCGAGGAGGGCGUCACCUCAGCUCCCCCCGGCGGCGGAGCCGGCGGGCUCAGGCGGGCGCGGCUGAGGGGAGCGGACCGCGGGGGGCGGGAGAUGACUGCGCCCAAGGCCUUUGCGGGCCUCAGCCGGCCCCAGAGGAAGGGGAACCCGUCGAGCGGUUUGGUGCGUGUGAAGCGCGACAUGGCGAGGAAGCGGACAAGCCCGGGUGGCCCGGCGUGUAGAGGGAAGGGGGCGGGGCUAGACGCGGCCUGGACAACUACUAGAGCGCCUCGGGCUGUGCUGCUCGAGACUACAUUUCCCAGAGCGACGCGCGCGGAGCGGGCGGGAAAGAGAGCGUUUCGGGUCCAGUGCGCAGGUGCGAAAGCCAUCUUUGGUUAUAUAAGGGAGGUUCAGGAAGCCAUUCGUUCUUUCGCGUCUGCGGUGCCCGGAGUGUGGUACUUCUCCUAGUUGCAGUCAGGCUUCAUACGCUAUUGUCCUGCCCGUUAGAGCAGCCAGCGGGUACAGAAUGGAUUUUGGAAGAGGGAGUCACCACUGGACCUCCAAGGAAGCCACGUGCAGACAUCUACAACCUUCGAUCUCCUGACGAGUUUAUUGUUGGCCAAAACCAGGCUUUGAUUGAACCAGGAUGAAUGCGGGUGUUGGAAGUAGAAUAUAUAUAUACAUAUAAAAUUGGUUGGGAGCCACGUGUACCAGUGUGUGUUGAUCUUGGCUUGAUUCAGUCUGCCUUGUAACAGAAACUGGCGAUGGAAUAUGAGAGGAGCCCUCUGGAAAGAAAAGGACAGACCCUGUGCUUUCAUGAAAGUGAAGAUCUGGCUGAACCAGUUCCACAAGGUUACUGUAUACAUAGCCUGAGUUUAAAAGGCUGUGCCCACUUCAAGAAUGUCAUUGUUAGACUUUGAAAUUUCUAACUGCCUACCUGCAUAAAGAAAAUAAAAUCUUUUAAAUCAAAA